GAUUUCAAUUGAAAAAGUCAUCAACAACAAAGUUGAAUAACUCAUCAAGAUCUAAAACUUUUAUUUUUGUUAUUUCUUCAUCCGACGAAAUGUUAAUAAUAUUAUUCAUAAAUUUUACAUAUAUGUGUUAUAGUUUAUAAAACCAGAUAAGAGAUAUGUCAAUUUUGUGAACAAUGUUACUAUCACUUUGUCGUAUGAAGAAAUGACCAAAAUAAAAGUUUUAGAUCUUGAUGAGUUAUUCAACUUUGUUGUUGAUGACUUUUUCAGUUGAUAUC
rnacentral:pre_miRNA from 1 species